UACGUAGGGGGCAAGCGUUGUCCGGAAUCAUUGGGCGUAAAGAGCGUGUAGGCGGCCCGAUAAGUCCGCUGUGAAAGUCCAAAGGCUCAACCCUGGAAUGCCGGUGGAUACUGUCGGGCUCGAAUCCGGAAGAGGUGAGUGGAAUUCCUGGAUGUAGCGGUGAAAUGCGCAGAUAUCAGGAGGAACACCAAUGGCGAAGGCAGCUCACUGGGACGGUAUUGACGCUGAGACGCGAAAGCGUGGGGAGCAAACAGG
rnacentral:rRNA from 1 species